GACGAACGCUGGCGGCGUGCCUAAUACAUGCAAGUAGGACGCAGUUGCGAACGGGUGAGUAACGCGUAGGUAACUACCUAUUAGAGGGGGAUAACUAUUGGAAACGAUAGCUAAUACCGCAUACUAGUAGAUUGACCUGCGUUGUAUUAGCUAGUAGGUAGGGUAAUGGCCUACCUAGGCAACGAUACAUAGCCGGACUGGGAGGGGUGUCGGACAAACUGGGACUGAGACAAGGCCCAGACUUCCACGGGAGGCAGCAGGAGGGAAUCUUCGGCAAUGGGGGGAACCCUGAACAAGCAACGCCGCGGGAGUGAAGAAGGUUUUCGGAUCGUAAAGCUCUGUUGUGAAGGAAGCGGUACUUAACCAGAAAGGGACGGCUAACUACGUGCCAGCAGCCGCGGUAAUAC
rnacentral:rRNA from 1 species